CCGUCAUAGGGACAAUUCCGUACACGAGCAUUUAUUUCCAAACAAUAGUAUACAAUUGAUAAUUUCUUCGACAAAGCAGCGAUUGAUUUAAUUUUCAGCAAUCAAAAGCUGAUGGCCUUUUUGCCUACGGAAGAAUAAAACAAAAAAUAUACGUGCUACAGAAUUUCCCCUAUGACGGAUUUGUCCGCAUUGCUUAUGUGUUUGUUUUAAUGUCAAUAUGAAAAAAAUUAUAUAUAUAAUUGGUAUUAAAAUAUUUUAAAUAUUCAUACUGACUUUGGGUCCGAGGCUUAAAUUUUAUUAUAUUUUAAAACGCACCAAUGAAUAAUUUAACACGUGCUUUUAUUUAGUGCCAAAUUUUGUUAGAUUUUUAUACGUUUUAAAUAAAUAUUUUGUUAGUGAAUAUUUCUGUGUUGUAACAAAUAAAAUACUCAGUGUAGAAUUUUAACAGUAAAGUAACAAUUAAUAAUUAACAAACAAGACACAAUAACGGACAGAUUGUAUAUUCAUUCAUGAAAGUUACUGAAAUGAUUUUAUACAAUGCUGGCAUUUAGUAAUAAUGUAGGAAUCCGGGUUUUCAGUCAAUAUAGCAGUAUUUUCCAUUUGUUUUAUUAUAAAUAUAAAAUGAACUUUGUGCUUUUUUUUUAAUCACGUAUUAUUUUUCUAAGUCUUCCUUUAUUUAUAUAGUUCCUUUUAUACUGUAUGCAAUAUUAUUUGCGUUAUUUGACACAUUGUGACUGACGUAUAUAGAGAUGUAACUAACCCAAAUCGAUUGUCACAGCAAGCGAUUACGAUUGGAUGGCACGUAGACUGAGGUAUCGAAUUGUGACGUAUAAUGAAUUUUUAUUUGAGAUUUAAAUAAAGCUAGAAUUAUAUGGUUUUCCCGCAAGGUAAAUGCAUUUAAUACACCGACCGAGUAGGUCGCACCCAUCGUCAAAAUCUAAACUAACUGGGGAUCUAUUUUAAAGUUUAUUUAUGUUAUUUCUGUGUCAAAUUUGUUGUCUGUUAGGUGACGAUAAAUAUAUCCAUAUUUACAGUUAAUUAUCCACCUUUUCCUUACUUUUAUUAAAAGAAAAAUGAAAAAUUCAUAUCGACUUACUUAGACUACUACCGAUUCAUAACGGUGGUGUCCGGCCAACCCUAAAAUUAAAAAAAAAAAGACGUAGAACGUAAACGUUCGUAGUGCAUUUGUUUUCCUUUGUGAUUUCGAUGUGCAAGACAUUUUACGUAGUAUUGCUGUUGUGAGUGACAGACGUCAAAUACCGCAAAUAAUGUUGUAUACACUAUAAAGCAAAGGUCACAGAAAAUAUUAAUUUAAGAAGCGAUUACGAUUAAAAGCAUUAGUGUACAGUUCUUUUCAUAUACGUACAGUCAACAACAGAGCUAUGAAUACAGGCAAAAUGUCAAAAAUAUGUAUACAGUACUUUAUUGCCUGUACAUUAAGGUAUUUUUGGCACUUUGCCUGUAUUCAUAGCUCUGUUGUUGACUGUACAUGUAUAAAAACAAAUGUAUAAGCAAAACUGAUAAUUCUAUGACAAUAUACUUAGUUAAAAAUAUAUAUAAAUAUUAACUUUACUAGAGACAGGUACUUAAAUAGAGAAUGCAAACGUGAUAAAUAGAUCCGCCUACAAAAUAUGAGGCCCAUAGCGUUGUAUGGUCAUUGUCAGUCUUCUCUGUUUACUUGCCUCUCUGUAGUCUGUAAUUCUGUAUUUGUAUUUUGAACCAGAGCACUACCAUACACUUUUUUAAAUGCACAAGUCUAUUAUUGCUCAAAUAUUCGAUUGUUUUGUAUGUACAUAAUAUAUUUAUGGUCUAACUAUAGUUCGUUUUUUUUUAGCAUUAGAAAGAACUUGAAAGAAAGUAAGCGAUCUAGCCAAGUCUUAAUUGAAAAACGCUUUUUAAAAAUCAAUAAGUAUUACUUAUGAAACCAGAAGAAUAUAAAUGAUCGUAUUAGAUUCAUAAUUGUUACCGUAACUUAUUUUUAAAAUGUGUUUUUCAAUUAAAAGACACAUCAAGUUUGUUUACCUUAUUUCUAAUGCUAAAAAAAACGAACUAUAAUCAAUAUUUGCCAUAACGUGCCAGAUACAGUAGCAUAAAUAUAAUACGUAGUAUAUAAUUUAAGACGCAGUACGUACAGUCAAAUAUAAAAGUGUUUAAACGUUCGGUACCACUUACUCCUACGUAAUUUUUCACCUAAAGAAUAAAAGGUGGCAGUAAUGUAGUAUAAGGUGGCGCCGAACGUGUUAAAACUAAGUUAGCUUCCCAAAACGUCCGCUAGAUGUAGUGAGUAGACAUGAAAUGUAAUGUUUUGAACCAUUUUAUUGAUCCACUGCCAACUUUUAUAAUAACAAUAGAUUUUUAUUAUUUACUGUAACUUUUAUACACGAUUCCAUGAAAUAAAAUAGACUUCAGUUAGCAUUUUUAAACGUAAGUGUAACCUAUUAUGUGUAUUUAUAUGUACAUAACAGUGACACUGUAUUUGUUCUUAUACAUAAUAAAAAUGUUUAGUACCGAA